CUACACAAGCAGGACAAGUUUGGUGUAUGAAUAGUGGGUUCCGUAUACCAACCUCAGCUGUCCAUGCAGAGAAGUUAUCUGAGUGUGGUCUCAUAUGUGUGCCUUCUAAAAAACGGAAUGAUCAAAAGCACAAUGAAAACCAAUUAUUUCAGUUUAAAAGGGUCAUGUUUGAAAGUCAAAUGACUUAGCUUUUAGAAUUGAUGCAUAAACAAAGUACCUGUGUGACUCUGUUUCCUUUCCAUUACUGAUAUCUGCUGAUUUAAGUGAUAGUCUGCCAGGAGAUGAGCUUUUUUGGGGGGAAGGAGGAUUAUAGUACCUAUGCUUCAAGAGAAAAGAUUGCUGUGACGUCUUUAAGAUUUGUGGGGUAAAAUGUUGUUUUUCUAUGAAGCAAACCGAGUAUUUGUCAAGGAGGUCCCCAGAGUACGUUUUGUUAGAAGAGUUUUGAAAUGCCUUCUUCCUGUUGUGACUGUUUAAAUGCAAAUGAGACUGCUGGAGCUGCAAAGCAGAUGACCUGUCUUUACCAAAGACAGGAGCAGGAUUCUGACACAAGCUAUGCUGAGCAGUCUUCUUUGCAGAAGAAGCUGGCAACAGAGUUCUUGUACCGAGUGCCUGAAAAGAUACAGAGGGAAGCUGCGCUCUCUCUGUCCUGGAAUAGCCAUUUUCCAACAGCAAACACCUCACCUGCAAGUUAGAGAACAAAAUACCCCCCCUUCAAAAAAUCACAAAAGCAAUCUGUUGAUUUCAGUGCCUCCUACAAACUGAUUCACUAAGAAGGAAGUUUAAGAACCAGCUUUCAAACUGCUUCAAGUGGUCUAAAUGACUUGCAGUUAGAAGUAAAGCAGUGCUGUCACUGCGCUACAGCUAGUUAUUAACAUGUCCCUUUUCUAGUUUCCUUUUCCUUCCUUCUCUGUGCAAAGUUGAGGUUUCUCAUGACAGGUACUCUUAGGAAAUUACAGAAAUUCCUCUUUCCUUGCCAGGGUUCACAGAGGGAGAAGAGAUUUUUCCUUCCUUGGUCAUCAUCAUUCUCACGGCAAUCCUCUUUAGGAGCCGUGAGAUGACACCUUCUACUCACUCUCCUUGAAGGACUAUUCAGGUAGUAUACGAAGCAGACAACCACUUCUCUUUAUGGUGGGUGCUUGAUGCUUCAGAAGCACACAUCCGUAUACGAAAUAAAUAAAUGCAACCCAGGGCUUCAUUAUGUCACCCACAUGGUAGGUAACAAGUUGUGGAGGCACAACAGAGCACAAUAUUUUGUUCCCAUCUCCUGCCCACUCUUUUUCCCCUGUCCUAGACAAGAACUCGUGCAAGUCAAAACAGAAGAAAAGAUGUUGUAAUGAAGUCUCUGAGAUUCAAGCCUGAGUGACCAAAG
ensembl:lncRNA